GACGAACGCUGGCGGCGUGCUUAACACAUGCGAGUCGAACGGAAAGGCCCUGCUUUUGUGGGGUGCUCGAGUGGCGAACGGGUGAGUAACACGUGAGUAACCUGCCCUUGACUUUGGGAUAACUUCAGGAAACUGGGGCUAAUACCGGAUAGGAGCUCCUGCUGCAUGGUGGGGGUUGGAAAGUUUCGGCGGUUGGGGAUGGACUCGCGGCUUAUCAGCUUGUUGGUGGGGUAGUGCCUUACCAAGGCUUUGACGGGUAGCCGGCCUGAGAGGGUGACCGGCCACAUUGGGACUGAGAUACGGCCCAGACUCCUACGGGAGGCAGCAGUGGGGAAUAUUGCACAAUGGGCGGAAGCCUGAUGCAGCAACGCCGCGUGCGGGAUGACGGCCUUCGGGUUGUAAACCGCUUUCGCCUGUGACGAAGCGUGAGUGACGGUAAUGGGUAAAGAAGCACCGGCUAACUACGUG
rnacentral:rRNA from 1 species